AGUUAUUUAGCUUAUGAAAAGCAUAUACCUUGAAAGUAUAAGAAAGAGUCAUUUAAUAACUU
rnacentral:tRNA from 2 species